rnacentral:rRNA from 1 species
CAGCCCUAAACGAUGCGCGUUAGGUGUAUCGGUGACCACGAGUCACCGAGGUGCCGAAGGGAAACCGUGAAACGUGCCGCCUGGGAAGUACGGUCGCAAGGCUGAAACUUAAAGGAAUUGGGCGGGGGGAGCCACCACAACGGGUGGAGCCUGCGGUUUAAUUGGACUCAACGCCGGGAAGCUCACCGGAUAAGACAGCGGAAUGAUUGCCGGGCUGAAGACCCUGCAUGACCAGCUGAGAGGAGGUGCAUGGCGUAGUCGUGU